rnacentral:lncRNA from 1 species
UGAAAUUAAAACUUGAAUCUUUUCGUUUGCCGCGAUGUUGAAUAAAGUUCAAUGAAUCAAAAUAUCUAUCUGCUCUUCCAUUCUUUCUUCGGCUACAAGCGGAAUCGAUGUAAAAGGUUUGGUGAUAGAAGUAUCAUACGUGUUAGUUUAUGAUUGCUUAUUCUGGUAAUUCGCGUAACUCGGUGCCUAAAUUUUUUGUGAGAGAACAGCAAAUUUACAUCUGCAUAUUCAGUGUACAUGGCAGGUUAUCUCUACCUGGUGUGAAGUCCGAUCUAUCUAUGCCUUUACUUUACGUGACAUUCGUGAUUUGCAUGAGUUCAUCCAUGGAUCCAAGAAAAAGAGGAAAGCCUUUCAUGUUGUGGUUUUGAUUGCUCUUUGGUGCUUAUGGCAUUUGCGUAAUGACAUGGUUUUUAAUCGGAAGUCGGUUUAUGAGUUUCUUUUAGAUAUGCUGCAAACCAUCGAAGAUAGGUCCACAUAGUGGCGUUCCUCAAAAAAGACGUCCGAAGAUCAGAGAACACACUUUUCUUACGCCUGACGACCGUGACCAGCGACAAUAAGCUUCUCCUGUUCAGCCAUAAUGUCUAUUGCUUUUGUCAUUUGUCUUGAAAGUGUUAUCCG